CACUGGUAGCGAGGAUCCUCUCUGGUGCUGAGGAUGUGCCCACGGGCGAGAGAGAAAGGGAGAGACACACACGAUGUCCGCAAGAUGAGUGAGGGAUACUCUGGGAGUUCAGCUGGAGCGGAGGGAAGGCACCAGGAUCUCAGCAGGGCCUGGCCUCCGGAAAGGACCCUGGUGAGAAGGCGGGCCCUGGGGAGACGUGGAGCGCCCAGCCCAGGGCGCGCGAGGCCCUGGCAUCCACUAUUCUACUUUCUGUCUCUAUGAGUUUGACCACUCUAGAGUCAUCACUUACCAAUGAGGGAGAUACUCUCACCAUCGUCUGUUUCAUAGAUGAGGACACUGCCAAGGAUUUGCGUGCAUCACACAGCUCACGGCUGUCAGAGCCGGAAGUGGAGUGCGUUUCCACCUUGAGAAGCACACCACCACCUUUUUGUUUUCUUCUGUCUUUAAACAUAACUCCUUUCCAUGUGUAAAAAUUAAAUCAGGUUGGGUGCGGUGGCUCACACCUGUAAUCCCAGCUCUUUGGGAGGCUGAGGCGGGUAGAUCAUAAGGUCAAGAGAUCGAGACCAUCCUGGCUAACAUGGUGAAACCCUGUCUCCACUAAAAAUACAAAAAUUAGCUGAGCAUGGUGGUGGGCGCCUGUAGUCCCAGCUACUCAGGAGGCGGAGACUGCAGUGAGCUGAGAUUGCACCAUUGUACUCCAGCAUGGGCAACAAAAGCGAAACUCCUUCUCAAAAAAAAAAAAAAAAAAAAUUAAAUCAGGGAACCAAACUACCUGAAUUAUUUCAUUUUCUUUACUAAGAAAUUUAGAAAACUCUCCAUCUGAAAUACUUACUUCCUUUUAAAAUUUAUUUUAUUUUC